GUUCAUCUCUUCAAGGACAUGCGAUAAAAUUGGAAGAAUAAAGAGAGGAUUGGGAAGGCCCCUGCACAAGGAUGACACUCACCAAUCGAGAAAAGGUUUAUAUGUUG